rnacentral:rRNA from 1 species
UAAGGAAUAUUGGUCAAUGGACGCAAGUCUGAACCAGCCAUGCCGCGUGAAGGAUGAAGGUCCUCUGGAUUGUAAACUUCUUUUAUCUGGGACGAAAACGGGAUUUUUAUCUCAAUUGACGGUACCAGAGGAAUAAGCACCGGCUAACUCCGUGCCAGCAGCCGCGGUAAUACGGAGGGUGCGAGCGUUAUCCGGAUUUACUGGGUUUAAAGGGUGCGUAGGUGGGCAGAUAAGUCAGUGGUGAAAUCUUCCGGCUUAACCGGGAAACUGCCGUUGAUACUAUUUGUCUUGAAUAUUGCGGAGNUAAGCGGAAUAUGUCAUGUAGCGGUGAAAUGCUUAGAUAUGACAUAGAACACCAAUUGCGAAGGCAGCUUACUACACAAUCAUUGACACUGAGGCACGAAAGCGUGGGUAGCGAACA